rnacentral:rRNA from 1 species
AUUGAACGCUGGCGGCAGGCCUAACACAUGCAAGUCGAGCGGAGCGGCGGACGGGUGCGUAAUGCCUAUGAAUCUGCCUGUUCGUGGUGGAUAACGUUCGGAACCGGGCGCUAAUACCGCUUACUAUCAGAUGAGCCUAGGUGGGAUUAGCUAGUUGGUGGGGUAAAGGCCUACCAAGGCGACGAUCCGUAACUGGUCUGAGAGGAUGAUCAGUCACACUGGAACUGAGACACGGUCCAGACUCCUACGGGAGGCAGCAGUGGGGAAUAUUGGACAAUGGGCGAAAGCCUGAUCCAGCCAUGCCGCGUGUGUGAAGAAGGUCUUCGGGUUGUAAAGCACUUUAAGUUGGGAGGCGUUACCAGCAGAAUAAGCACCGGCUAACUUCGUGCCAGGAGCCGCGGUAAUAC